rnacentral:rRNA from 1 species
AUGAACGCUAGCGGCAGGCUUAACACAUGCAAGUCGAGGGGCAGCAUAAUGAAACAGCAAUGUGGAUUUGAUGGCGACCGGCGCACGGGUGCGUAACACGUAUCCAAUCUGCCCGCGGCUCGGGGAUAGCCCAUCGAAAGAUGGAUUAAUACCCGAUGGUGUGGUUUCUCCGCAUGGGGUUUCCACUAAAGGUUUUCCGGCCGCGGAUGAGGAUGCGUAUGAUUAGGUAGUAGGCGGGGUAACGGCCCACCUAGCCUUCGAUCAUUAGGGGUUCUGAGAGGAAGGUCCCCCACACUGGUACUGAGAUACGGACCAGACUCCUACGGGAGGCAGCAGUGAGGAAUAUUGGUCAAUGGUCGGAAGACUGAACCAGCCAUGCCGCGUGCAGGAAGAAUGUCUUAUGGAUUGUAAACUGCUUUUGUAUGGGAAUAAUAAUAGCUUUGCGAAGUUAGAUGCAUGUACCAUACGAAUAAGGAUCGGCUAACUCCGUG